UUUGAAAUACUUGCACACAAACCGCGAGAAAGCGUUCCUGGAAAUCUCAGCCCAAAAAAGGAUGUUUAGUAAUUCUAAAAGGGACUACAGGAUGAAAAACAAUAGUUUUGGCAGUUAAAGUUUGAGAUUUGACGGUGUCGUAGAUCCGUUUGGUCAUCAGGUGUUACGAGCCACACCCAUGUCUAGCUAGAAUAGUGUGUUAGGCUCAGGCUAGAGAAGAAACGGGGAACAAACUGAUGAAAGAAUGAUCAAACCGAGGGGAUUCACUCAGAACUAACAAGAAUGAUAACGUGCUCCGACUAGAGCGGUUUAGGAACUUCUGGAAGGCUCUAGGGGAAUAAAGAUGGAAUGACUUCUAAUUUUUAGGUCCGUAUGAUUUGAAAUACUUUCACACAAACCGCGCGAAAGCGUUCCUGGAAAUCUCAGCCCCAAAAAGGACGUUUAGUAAUUCUAGAAGGGACUAUAGGAUGAAAAACAAUAGUUUUGGUAGUUAAAGUUUGAGAUUCGAUGGUGCCGUGGAUCCGUUUGGUCAUCAGGUGUUACGAGCCACACCCAUGUCUAGCUAGAAUAGUAUGUUAGGCUCAGGUUAGAGAAGAAACGGGGAACAAACUGAUGAAAAAAUGAUCAUACCAAGGGAAUUCACUCAGAACUAACAAGAAUGAUAACGUGCUCCGACUGGAGCGGUUUAGGAACUGCUGGAAGGCUCUAGGGGAAUAAAGAUGGAAUGACUUCUAAUUUUUACGUCCGUAUGAUUUGAAAUACUUGCACACAAACCACGCAAAAGCGUUCCUGGAAAUCUCAGCCUAAAAAAGGACGUUUAGUAAUUCUAAAAGGGACUACAGGAUGAAAAAUAAUAGUUUGGGCAGUUAAAAUUUGAGAUUCAACGGUGCCGUAGAUCCGUUUGGUCAUGAGGUGUUACGAGCCACACCCAUGUCUAGCUAGAAUAGUGUGUUAGGCUCAGGCUAGAGAAGAAACGGGGAACAAAUUGAUGAAAGAAUGAUCAUACCGAGGGAAUUCACUCAGAACUAACAAGAAUGAUAACGUGCUCCGACUGGAGCAGUUUGGAAACUGUUGGUAGGCUCUAGGGGAAUAAAGAUGGAAUCACUUCAAAUUUUUAGGUCCGUAUGAUUUGAAAUACUGGCACACAAACCGCGCGAAAGUGUUCCUGGAAAUCUCAGCCCAAAAAAGGACGUUUAGUAAUUCUAAAAGGGACUACAGGAUGAAAAACAAUACUUUUGGCAGUUAAAGUUUGAGAUUCGACGGUGCCGUAGAUCUGUUUGGUCAUCAGGUGUAACGAGCCACACCCAUGUCUAGCUAGAGUAGUGUGCUAGGCUCAGACUAGAGAAGAAACGGGGAACAAAGUGAUGAAAGAAUGAUCAUACCGAGGGAAUUCACUCAGAACUAACAAGAAUGAUAACGUGCUCCGACUGGAGCGGUUUAGGAACUGCUGGAAGGCUCUAGGGAAAUAAAGAUGGAAUGACUUCUAAUUUUUAGGUCCAUAUCAUUUGAAAUACGUGCACACAAACCCCGAGAAAGCGUUCCUGGAAAUCUCGGCCGAAAAAAGGAUGUUUAAUAAUUCUAAAAGGGACUACAGGAUGAAAAACAAUAGUUUUGGCAGUUAAAGUUUGAGAUUUGACGGUGCCGUAGAUCUGUUUGGUCAUCAGGGGUUACGAGCCACACCCAUGUCUAGCUAGAAUAGUGUGUUAGGCUCAGGCUAGAGAAGAAACGGGGAACAAAUUGAUGAAAGAAUGAUCAUACCGAGGGAAUUCACUCAGAACUAACAAGAAUGAUAACGUGCUCCGACUGGAGCAGUUUGGAAACUGUUGGUAGGCUCUAGGGGAAUAAAGAUGGAAUCACUUCUAAUUUUUAGGUCCGUAUGAUUUGAAAUACAUGCACACAAACCCCAAGAAAGCGUUCCUGGAAAUCUCGCCCCGAAAAACGACGUUUAGUAAUUCUAAAAGGGACUACAGGAUGAAAAACAAUACUUUUGGCAGUUAAAGUUUGAGAUUCGACGGUGCCGUAGAUCUGUUUGGUCAUCAGGUGUAACGAGCCACACCCAUGUCUAGCUAGAGUAGUGUGCUAGGCUCAGACUAGAGAAGAAACGGGGAACAAAGUGAUGAAAGAAUGAUCAUACCGAGGGAAUUCACUCAGAACUAACAAGAAUGAUAACAUGCUCCGACUGGAGCGGUUUAGGAAGUGCUGGAAGGCUCUAGGGAAAUAAAGAUGGAAUGACUUCUAAUUUUUAGGUCCAUAUCAUUUGAAAUACGUGCACACAAACCCCGAGAAAGCGUUCCUGGAAAUCUCGGCCGAAAAAAGGAUGUUUAAUAAUUCUAAAAGGGACUACAGGAUGAAAAACAAUAGUUUUGGCAGUUAAAGUUUGUGAUUCGAUGGUGCCGUAGAUCUGUUUGGUCAUCAGGUGUUACGAGCCACACCCAUGUCUAGCUAGAACAGUGUGUUAGGCUCAGGCUAGAGCAGAAACGGGGAACAAACUUAUGAAAGAAUGAUCAUACCGAGGGAAUUCACUCAGAACUAACAAGAAUGAUAACGUGCUCCAACUGGAGCGGUUUAGGAACUGCUGGAAGGCUCUAGGGGAAUAAAGAUGGAAUGACUUCAAAUUUUUAGGUCCGUAUGAUUUGAAAUACUUGCACACAAACCGCUAGAAAGCGUUCCUGGAAAUCUCAGCCCAAAAAAGGACGUUUAGUAAUUCUAAAAGGGACUACAGGAUGAAAAACAAUAGUUCUGGCAGUUAAAGUUUGAGCUUCGAUAAUGUCGUAGAUCCGUUUGGUCAUCAGGUGUAACGAGCCACACCCAUUUCUAGCUAGAGUAGUGUGCUAGGCUCAGACUAGAGAAGAAAUGGGCAACAAACUAAUGAAAGAAUGAUCAUACCGAGGGAAUUCACUCAGAACUAACAAGAAUGAUAACGUGCUCCGACUGGAGCGGUUUAGGAACUGCUGGAAGGCUCUAGGGGAAUAAAGAAGGAAUGACUUCUAAUUUUUAGGUCCGUAUGAUUUGAAAUGUGUGCACACAAACCCCGAGAAAGCAUUCCUGGAAAUCUCGGCCCAAAAAAGGACGUUUAGUAAUUCUAAAAGGGACUACAGGAUGAAAAACAAUAGUUUUGGCAGUUAAAGUUUGAGAUUCGAUAAUGCCGUAGAUCCGUUUGGUCAUCAGGUGUAACGAGCCACACCCAUGUCUGGUUAGAGUAGUGUGCUAGGCUCAGACUAGAUAAGAAACGGGGAACAAACUGAUGAAAGAAUGAUCAUACCGAGCGAAUUCACUCAGAACUAACAAGAAUGAUAACAUGCUCCGACUGGAGCGGUUUAGGAACUGCUGGAAGGCUCUAGGGGAAUAAAGAUGGAAUGACUUCUAAUUUUUAGGUCCGUAUGAUUUGAAAUACUUGCACACAAACCACGCGAAAGCGUUCCUGGAAAUCUCAGCCCAAAAAAGGACGUUUAGUAAUUCUAAAAGGGACUACAGGAUGAAAAACAAUAGUUUUGGCAGUUAAAGUUUGAGAUUCGACAGUGCCGUAGAUCCGUUUGGUCAUCAGGUAUUACGAGCCACACCCAUGUCUAGCUAGAAUAGUGUGCUAGGCUCAGGCUAGAGAAGAAACGGGGAACAAACUGAUGAAAGAAUGAUCAAACCGAGGGAAUUCACUCAGAACUAACAAUAAUGAUAACGUGCUCCGACUGGUGCGGUUUAGGAACUGCUGGAAGGCUCUAGGGGAAUAAAGAUGGAAUGACUUCUAAUUUUUAGGUCCGUAUGAUUUGAAAUACUUGCACACAAACCGCGCGAAAGCGUUCCUGGAAAUCUCAGCCCAAAAAAGGACGUUUAGUAAUUUUAAAAGGGACUAUAGGAUGAAAAACAAUAGUUUUGGCAAUUAAAGUUUGAGAUUCGACGGUGUCGUAGAUCCGUUUGGUCAUCAGGUGUUACGAGCCACACCCAUGUCUAGCUAGAAUAGUAUGUCAGGCUCAGGUUAGAGUAGAAACGGGGAACAAACUGAUGAAAGAAUGAUCAUACCAAGGGAAUUCACUCAGAACUAUCAAGAAUGAUAACGUGCUCCGACUGGAGUGAUUUAGGAACUGCUGGAAGGCUCUAGGGGAAUAAAGAUGGAAUGACUUCUAAUUUUUACGUCCGUAUGAUUUGAAAUACUUGCACACAAAUCACGCAAAAGCGUUCCUGGAAAUCUCAGCCUAAAAAAGGACGUUUAGUAAUUCUAAAAGGGACUACAGGAUGAAAAACAAUAGUUUGGGCAGUUAAAAUUUGAGAUUCGACGGUGCCGUAGAUCCGUUUGGUCAUCAGGUGUUACGAGCGACACCCUUGUCUAGCUAGAAUAGUGUGUUAGGCUCAGACUAGAGAAGAAACGGGGAACAAAGUGAUGAAAGAAUGAUCAUACCGAGGGAAUUCACUCAGAACUAACAAGAAUGAUAACGUGCUCCGACUGGAGCGGUUUAGUAACUGCUGGAAGGCUCUAGGGGAAUGAAGAUGGAAUGACUUCUAAUUUUUAGGUCCGUAUGAUUUGAAAUACAUGCACACAAACCCUGAGAAAGCGUUCCUGGAAAUCUCGGUCGAAAAAAGGAUGUUUAAUAAUUCUAAAAGGGACUACCGGAUGAAAAACAAUAGUUUUGGCAGUUAAAGUUUGUGAUUCGAUGGUGCCGUAGAUCUGUUUGGUCAUCAGGUGUUACGAGCCACACCCAUGUCUAUCUAGAAUAGUGUGUUAGGCUCAGGCUAGAGCAGAAACGGGGAACAGACUUAUGAAAGAAUGAUCAUACCGAGGGAAUUCACUCAGAACUAACAAGAAUGAUAACGUGCUCCGACUGGCGCGGUUUAGGAACUGCUGGAAGGCUCUAGGGGAAUAAAGAUGGAAAGACUUCUAAUUUUUAGGUCCGUAUGAUUUGAAAUACUUGCACACAAACCGCACGAAAGCGUUCCUGGAAAUCUCAGCCUAAAAAGGAUGUUUAGUAAUUCUAAAAGGGACUACAAGAUGAAAAAUAAUAGUUUGGGCAGUUAAAAUUUGAGAUUCGACGAUGCCGUAGAUCCGUUUGGUCAUCAGGUGUUAUGAGCCACACCCAUGUCUAGCUAGAAUAGUGUGUUAGGCUCAGGCUAGAGAAGAAACGGGGAACAAACUGAUGAAAGAAUGAUCAUACCGAGGGAAUUCACUCAGAACUAACAAGAAUGAUAACGUGCUCCGACUGGAGCAGUUUAGAAACUGCUGGAAGGCUCUAAUGGAAUAAAGAUGGAAUGCCUUCAAAUUUCUAGGUCCGUAUGAUUUGAAAUACUUGCACACAAACCGCUCGAAAGCGUUCCUGGAAAUCUCAGCCCAAAAAAGGACGUUUAGUAAUUCUAAAAGGGACUACAGGAUGAAAAACAAUAGUUUUGGCAGUUAAAGUUUGAGAUUCGAUGGUGCCGUAGAUCCGUUUGGUCAUCAGGUGUAACGAGCCACACACAUGUCUAGCUAGAGUAGUGUGCUAGGCUCAGACUAGAGAAGAAACGGGGAACAAAGUGAUGAAAGAAUGAUCAUACCGAGGGAAUUCACUCAGAACUUACAAGAAUGAUAACGUGCUCCGACUGGAGCGCUUUAGUAACUGCUGGAAGGCUCUAGGCGAAUAAAGAUGGAAUGACUUCUAAUUUUUAGGUCCGUAUGAUUUGAAAUACUUGCACACAAACCACGCAAAACCGUUCCUAGAAAUCUCGGUCGAAAAAAGGACGUUUAGUAAUUCUAAAAGGGACUACAGGAUGAAAAACAAUAGUUUUGGCAGUUAAAGUUUGAGAUUCGAUGGUGCCGUAGAUCCGUUUGGUCAUCAGGUGUUACGAGCCACACCCAUGUCUAGCUAGAGUAGUGUGCUAGGUUCAGACUAGAGAAGAAACGGGGAACAAAGUGAUUAAAGAAUGAUCAUACCGAGGGAAUUCACUCAGAACUAACAAGAAUGAUAACGUGCUCCGACUGGAGCGGUUUAGGAACUGCUGGAAGGCUCUAGGGGAAUAAAGAUGGAAUGACUUCUAAUUUUUACGUCCGUAUGAUUUGAAAUACAUGCACACAAACCACGCAAAAGCGUUCCUGGAAAUCUCAGCCUAAAAAAGGACGUUUAGUAAUUCUAAAAGGGACUACAGGAUGAAAAAUAAUAGUUUGGGCAGUUAAAAUUUGAGAUUCGACGCUGCCGUAGAUCCGUUUGGUCAUCAGGUCUUACGAGCCACACCCAUGUCUAGCUAGAAUAGUGUGUUAGGCUCAGGCUAGAGAAGAAACGGGGAACAAACUGAUGAAAGAAUGAUCAUACCGAGGGAAUUCACUCAGAACUAACAAGAAUGAUAACGUGCUCCGACUGGAGCAGUUUAGAAACUCCUGGAAGGCUCUAGGGGAAUAAAGAUGGAAUGACUUCAAAGUUUUAGGUCCGUAUGAUUUGAAAUACUUGCACACAAACCGCGUGAAAGCGUUCCUGGAAAUCUCAACCCAAAAAAGGGCGUUUAGUAAUUCUAAAAGGGACUACAGGAUGUAAAACAAUAGUUUUGGCAGUUAAAGUUUGAGAUUCGAUGGUGCCGUAGAUCCGUUUGGUCAUCAGGUGUAACGAGCCACACCCAUGUCUAGCUAGAGUAGUGUGCUAGGCUCAGACUAGAGAAGAAACGGGGAACAAAGUGAUGAAAGAAUGAUCAUACCGAGGGAAUUCACUCAUAACUAACAAGAAUGAUAACGUGCUCUGACUUGAGCGGUUUAGGAACUGCUGGAAGGCUAUAGGGGAAUAAAGAUGGAAUGACUUCAAAUUUUUAGGUCCGUAUGAUCUGAAAUACUUGCACACAAACCGCGAGAAAGCGUUCCUGGAAAUCUCAACCCAAAAAAGGACGUUUAGUAAUUCUAAAAGGGACUACAGGAUGAAAAACAAUAGUUCUGGCAGUUAUUGUUUGAGAUUCGAUAAUCUCGUAGAUCCGUUUGGUCAUCAGGUGUAACGAGCCACACCCAUGUCUAGCUAGAGUAGUGUGCUAGGCUCAGACUAGAGAAGAAACGGGGAACAAACUGAUGAAAGAAUGAUCAUACCGAGGGAAUUCACUUAGAACUAACAAGAAUGAUAACGUGCUCCGACUGGAGCGGUUUAGGAACUGCUGGAAGGCUCUAGGGGAAUAAAGAAGGAACGACUUCUAAUUUUUAGGUCCGUAUGAUUUGAAAUAUGUGCACACAAACCACGAGAAAGCGUUCCUAGAAAUCUCGGCCCAAAAGAGGACGUUUAGUAUUCUAAAAGGGACUACAGAAUGAAAAACAAUAGUUUUGGCAGUUAAAGUUUGAGAUUUGACGGUGCCGUAGAUCUGUUUGGUCAUCAGGGGUUACGAGCCACACCCAUGUCUAGCUAGAAUAGUGUGUUAGGCUCAGGCUAGAAAAGAAACGGGGAACAAAGUGAUGAAAGAAUGAUCAUACCGAGGGAAUUCACUCAGAACUAACAAGAAUGAUAACAUGCUCCGACUGGAGCGGUUUAGGAACUGCUGGAAGGCUCUAGGGGAAUAAAGAUGGAAUGACUUCUAAUUUUUAGGUCCGUAUGAUUUGAAAUACUUGCACACAAACCGCGCGAAAGCGUUCCUGGAAAUCUCAGCCCAAAAAAGGACGUUUAGUAAUUCUAAAAGGGACUACAGGAUGAAAAACAAUAGUUUUGGCAGUUAAAGUAUGAGAUUCAACGGUGCCGUAGAUCCGUUUGGUCAUUAGGUGUUACGAGCCACACCCAUGUCUAGCUAGAAUAGUGUGCUAGGCUCAGGCUAGAGAAGAAACGGGGAACAAACUGAUGAAAGAAUGAUCAAACCGAGGGAAUUCACUCAGAACUAACAAUAAUGAUAACGUGCUCCGACUGGAGCGGUUUAGGAACUGCUGGAAGUCUCUAGGGGAAUAAAGAUGGAAUGACUUCUAAUUUUUACGUUCGUAUGAUUUGAAAAACUUGCCCAUAAACCGCGCGAAAGUGUUCCUGGAAAUCUCAGCCCAAAAAAGGACGUUUAGUAAUUUUAAAAGGGACUACACGAUGAAAAACAAUAGUUUUGGCAGGUAAAGUUUGAGAUUCGACAGUGCCGUAGAUCCGUUUGGUCAUCAGGUGUUACGAGCCACACCCAUGUCUAGCUAGAAUAGUAUGUUACGCUCAGGUUAGAGAAGAAACGGGGAACAAACUGAUGAAAGAUGAUCAUACCAAGGGAAUUCACUCAGAACUAACAAGAAUGAUAACGUGCUCCGACUGGAGCGGUUUAGGAACUGCUGGAAGGCUCUAGGGGAAUAAAGAUGGAAUGACUUCUAAUUUUUACGUCUGUAUGAUUUGAAAUACUUGCACACAAACAACGCAAAAGCAUUCCUGGAAAUCUCAUCCUAAAAAAGGACGUUUAGUAAUUCUAAAAGGGACUACAGGAUGAAAAAUAAUAGUUUGGGAAGUUAAAAUUUGAGAUUCGAUAGUGCCGUAGAUCCGUUUGGUCAUCAGGUGUUAGGAGCCACACCCAUGUCUAGCUAGAAUAGUGUGUUAGGCUCAGGCUAGAGAAGAAACAGGGAACAAACUGAUGAAA
rnacentral:lncRNA from 1 species